GACGAACGCUGGCGGCGUGCUUAACACAUGCAAGUCGAGCGGUAAGGCCCUUUCGGGGGUACACGAGCGGCGAACGGGUGAGUAACACGUGGGUGACCUGCCCUUAGCUCUGGGAUAAGCCUGGGAAACGUGGGUCUAAUACCGGAUAUGACUCCAUGACGCAUGUUGUGGGGUGGAAAGCCUUGUGCGGCUAGGGAUGGGCCUGCGGCCUAUCAGCUUGUUGGUGGGGUGAUGGCCUACCAAGGCGACGACGGGUAGCCGGCCUGAGAGGGCGACCGGCCACACUGGGACUGAGACACGGCCCAGACUCCUACGGGAGGCAGCAGUGGGGAAUCUUGCGCAAUGGGCGAAAGCCUGACGCAGCGACGCCG
rnacentral:rRNA from 1 species